CAAACUGUCGCGUCGUUCUGGCACGGCUACGGCGUGCGCUAUCGAUGGUUUGCAGCCAGUUUCGUGCCGGGCGCUGGCAUGUCCAGAAGUAUUUCGCGCGACGCGUAAUGUUUUAUCGGACUUUUGUGUUUUGUUAAUGAUUAAUUGUGCGUUUAAUGUCCGUAAAUGUUUUAUUGCUCGCGUUUGAUGUUUAUAUUUCAAAUUACAAGAAUGCUGCGGUUUAUUGUCGGUUAUUGUGUGACGUUGUGGGUCGCUGGAUCAAUUGAAUUCAUAUUGCUGCCAUGUUGUUCCCAGUUCUUACGAGGUGCUUUCGUGUUUGAUAUUUGCUGUGCCUAGGAUUCCGAUGAGUUCUGCAUUGCACUUCCUGUGCCCCAGUGACUAUUGCGCACAAAAACUCGUAAGUUUA